ACAUCUAACUGGCAGCUGCAGGCCCUGGCAACCACAUAGCUGGGCAGAUGUUAGAAAUCUGAGCUGAGCUGCAGCAGCUGGAAUGGCCAAGUGGGUUCCCCAGAGCCAAGGUCUGGGAAAGAAGUACACAAAUGACUUUGGGAACACCAUCUUUCUAGAAGACGAGAAGCCCAGUCUCUGUUUAAAAGGCCUUAGAGUCAACAGAGGGUUUAAAUCAUGCAUACUGAGCACUGAGCUUCUGUGCAAGGAAGAAUAAAUAAAUGAAAGAUGCCAUGAAGGAGAAUGCUUGGCUGACCACUGAGAAGUACGUACAUUCGAAUCUGUUUCCCUCGAGCAAUGCAUUCAGAAUCAACAGCUGGUCUGUUGUCAGGUACCUGCUCAUCCUGGAGGAAGAGCUGUUCUAGAAGCCAGCUCCUUCCAGCCC
rnacentral:lncRNA from 12 species